AUGUAAUAUUUUUACAUAAUUAAGUAAUUUUAUUAAUUGCAAUUUGAGGGACCUGCCUGCCAACCCAGGCCGAAAGUCCAGAGAAUUUAAUUUUUUACCCUGUUACUUUCUAUGACACCCUAAAACCUGUACAUGGGGGGUACCGUUUUACUCGGGAGACUUCGCUGAACACAAAUAUUAGUGAUUCAAAACAGUAAAACAUAUCACAGCGAUGAUAUUGUCAGCGAAAGUGACUUCUUUUGCAUUUUUCACACACAAACAGCACUUUUACUGAUGAUAUAAUUGUUGUGAUACGUUUUCCUGUUUUGAAACACUAAUAUUUGUGUUCAGCAAAGUCUCCCGAGUAUAACAGUACCCCCCAUGUACAGAUUUGAUAGCGUUUUUGAAUGUUACAGGGUCAAAUAUAUGGGUCAAAUAUUUUUACAUUGAAAAUGGCCAGGUUGGUUACGUUGCCUUUGAGAGCGUAUGGUAGCCCAGGAAUGAGAAUUACCCCCGUGAUGGCAUACCAUUUACAAAAGAAGACAACCCAAGGUAUUGCAAAUGGGUUAUGUCCAGUCUUUUUUAGUAGCCACUUAGUCACAAACACUGGCCAAAAUUAGCAUUCAAUUUAGUUUUUUACUUUUUUCACACACAAACAAAUAUGAACGCUGGCUAGUGUUUGCAACUAGGUGGCUACUAAAAAAAACUGGACAUACCCCAUAUUGAAUAUCCUGGGUGGUCUACUUUAAAAAAAUAUGUACAUGUGAAGUGUUAUUCAGAGAUCUAUGACAGAUAAUAGUGUUACAAUGUCACUAUUGAUAAAUUUGAAAAAAUUUAUGUUUUGAAACCGCAAUAUCCUACUUGUACCUAUAGCCCUAUAGCUUGCAAAAAAAAAAAAGCAUGUAAAUACUGG